ACGGUUAUAAAUCAACAUAUUGUUUUAUAAGCAUGGAAAUCCCCUGAGUGAAACAACGAAUUGCUGUGUGUAGUCUUUGCCCAUCUCCCACGAUGGGCUUUUUUUUAA
rnacentral:other from 1 species